CACCAGCUCCACAAGUGGGGGUCACAUUUAUUUGGCCUAAAGCGUCCGUAGCUGGUUGUGUAAAUCUUUUGUGAAAUUGUUUUGCUUAACAGAACAACGUGCAGGAGACACUGCAUGACUAGGGACCGGGAGGAGUCAGAGGUAUGCCAAGGGGAGCGGUAAAAUGCUAUAAUCCUUGGUAGACCACCUGUGGCGAAGGCGUCUGACUAGAACGGGUCCGACAGUGAGGGACGAAAGCCAGGGGA
rnacentral:rRNA from 1 species